UGCUUUUUUUUUUUUUUUUUUAAUUCCUUGUCUCCCCUACAGCUGGUUUCUGGCUUUCUGCCCUUUCACAGAAAAACCUGCCAAUGAGACCAAACACCUGGACUCAGAAAGGUCACAAAAGAGAACUGGAAGCAGAGAUCUCUGAACUCUUCAGACUAUGACCAGAGACUGAAACCUUAUGGCAGCAACCCUGGGUCUUCUACAUGGUUCCCACUUCUUCUCAGUUUCCUUCCUUGCCCAGCUGGACUUGCAUUCUGACAGCAAGACAAAAGCAGAAGUUAUUUCUACAUUUUCCUCAGGUUUUCAGUAAACCAUACAUACGAACAAACUUUAAAUCAUACUGAUGUUUUUAAUACUCCUAUACACAAUUUCUAUACACAAUGACAUUCAUCGCAUUGCCAUACGUGUAAGUGAUCCUUAUAGUUCUCAACUGAACUGGAACCCAACAAAAAUAUGGCAGAAUGAAUCAAAUACAUCCUAGUAAAGUGAUAUAAAUUACUACUUAUAAUUACAAUUUGUAUGCAGUCAACAAGGAAAAUUAAUACUUAUUUAUCAAAUUUGAUUAGGUGCCUCAUAACUGUAAUUAAAGUUUUCAUACAUAUGAAUAAACAACUGGAAGUGUUUCUAAUGGGAGUUCUAUCUGCUGAUAGCAAAGGCUAUGAAAAAUAUACGGCAGUUUCCCAAUAUCCAGCUGAUAAAGAGGUGACUGUUUUAGAGGUUUUCAAUGAGUUUCAAGAAACAAAGCUAUCAAAUAGGAAAAAUAAGCUGCAAAGUGACAAGACAUAGAAUAUAUGACUGUUCUGAACAAUGGUAUUUAUUGACUGACUCACCAAAUAUGCAGCAACAAUGUAUCAAAUGCUUUGGAGACCAGAAUUAUUUUUAUGUAAUGCUUUGGUUUAAAAACCAAUUUUCUUCCCAGAAAAGCUAUUUUUGGCAUGUCAUUCUGAAUUCCUGUAUCACUGCUUGAAGAUAUUUUAAAUCACAUUUGUAUGUUACUUGAAAAUAUUGCAGUAUUGCAGCCAAAAAUGGAUCUUGACAUCUGCCAUUUAUAAACAAAGAUUUCUAGACAGAAAUUUUUGUCCAUAGCAUCAUUAAAACCUCAAAGAAGAAGAGAAACCAACCCAGCUCUGACCUAAGACAUUAUUUAAUAAAUAGUACUGCAUCACAAAUGUGAGAUCGCA
rnacentral:lncRNA from 1 species